CACACAUAUCACAUGAUUAAGCUCCAUAUAUAUGAUUUGAAAAUGAAACUUGUUAGAAUGACGACAAUGACAAUGUAUAAAAUAGAAACACUUUUUGGAAAAAAAAAUAUACGUUCGGAAGUAGAAAUAUUACGUAAGAAUCGAAUUAAUUUUAUUUAUUUUAGUGGUUAAACACUGUCUGAGAAUCUUACCAUGUAUCAGAGUAAUCUCAAUGGUUUAAUCUCAAACUGAGUAUCAAAAUUAAAACCAAAAGUAUUUUUACCACAAAAAAACAAAAACAAAAAGUAUUAGUGUUUUAAUGGUGUUUUAUUAAGUAAUUAAUAUUUAAAUUUGAUAAAAGAUGAAACUCAUUUAAAAUUUGAAAAGUGUUAGAGAGGUUCUAAUGAGGAUUUUAAUUAGUCUUUUGUUUUUUUUUAUAAAUAAGAAAAGGUUGAAAAAGAAAUACUGAAGGCUGGAUAAGCCAACGGUUGAGAAAUGCUCAAACACGUGUCAUCAUCAUGUGAAGAGAAAGGUAAAACGCAGCAGAAGAUUCUCUCUCUUCCCAUAAUAGUUUCCCUUCUUGUGGAACCCUAGGACGAGGAAGAAAAAGUCAUGUCCCUUGAGAAGAAGCUUCUUGAAUAUGGGGAAAAGCUUGUUGAUCCACUACUUGCUGUCAAGCUUCUUGACGUGGGUUCAAGCUAUAUAUUCAUCUGCAUUUUUAUUCUGUUUUUGCAAAACAAAGUUUCUUUUUUUGAUAUUUAACUGAAUCUUUAUGGUCAUAGGUGGAACAAGAACUUUUUUGACUCCGCAGUAAAGAUCCUAACCACAAAGUCCACAACUCCUUCCACUCUCUAUCUUCCGGAGUCCACUCGGACCAGAUCAAUGAACCAGUAGAUGACAACAGUAGGUAGUUGUUGUUCUCGUUGGCAACUGUAACUGAACUUGUCAAGAUACACUACAGAGUCAACAAUAGACACAGAGCAAACAAUAAUGACAAAGUUCAGUUACAUUUUGCAAAGAGAACAACAACUACCUACUAUGCUAUUUUGAGAUUUGUCUUCCACGUACUGGUUCGUUGAUCUGGCCGGACUGGACUCCGGCAGAUACAUAAUGGAAGAAGUUGUGGUUAUUUGUACUAUAAAUAUCCAAAUGAAAGUGUUUGAGUUUGAUGUUUCCAUAAAGACUCUUCAAGCAUUCAGAUGUCGAUGUGAAAGUUUCUAUCACUUCCUGCAUUGUUGAGUUUAUGAGAAUAACUGCUUCAUAUAUGCUCCAUAUGAUGAUGAAAAAAAUUAGGGGAUGACCAUUCAAUCCAAGUAUCUUUAGAUAUCGAGAACAUUAUGUCCCUUGUGUUACAAGAAAGCGAUGAUAUACCUCCAGAGUUUCUUUCACCAAUUCUACAUUAUGUUAGAAAGGAUGCUGAGGUUCCUCGAAUGCUGCAGCCUUGAUAGCGAGAUGGAGAAGACAGCUUCAGAAGGAGAACCCUUUUACCCCACUCACAAGUCCAGUCCCUGAGCAAGGUGACUUGUCUGUGACACAUCAGUUGGCUAAGUUGAGACACAGAAUUGUAGAGACUUUAACCAGUGUAAGACCGUUUCGCUCUGAGCUCGAUUAAAAGGAACAGUACAUUUUGACCAGUUUGCGAACAGUUUCGGUCUGAGAUAAAUAAGAAGGCAGAUAAUUUAGAGGCUUCGCUCCAUGAAUUUGAAGUCUUAGGUAUGUGAUCUGGUUUCUGAUGAACUUGUCUUUUUUUUUUAUUUUGUCGUUUGUUUUGGUUCAAGGUCUCUGACAAUAUGAUACUGGGACAUGAGAGAUGAUAUAUGGAACUCAUGAUCAAGUUUAGACUGGAACUGCAGAUCAACAAAAUGGACCCAAGUAAAGUACUAAGUUGACCAGAAUCAGCAAUCUCAUUUUUUUUUGUAUCCUGAACUUGUUAAGUAGAAAAAUGUAUUUUGGAUAAGCACCGAUGCAGCCAUUAAUCUGCUAAUAGAACCAAACGUUCCAACUCGCAAUGCAUGCUAAUAGAACUAAGUACAGUGGCGGAUUUAGGAAUAGUUUUCACCCGGAGUAAAACUGUAAAACACUAGUAAUAUAGUUACAAAUUCAAAUUUUCAUCAAGGACAUUGCUAAAAAUUAUAUACAAAAUUAGCAACAAAAAAAAAAUCAUGGGAAGCAACUACCCCUCCCACUCCUCACCUAGCUCCGCCCCUGACAAAGUAGACCAAAUAUUUAUACAACUGAACCAAACAAAGGCACCAAGAAGAUAUACAACAAAAAGAUAAAUAAACCAAACAAGAAAAAUCUCCAAGAAAAAAUAUCUAGAAAAGACAGCAUACACAGCUCAAGGCUCAUUUAAAGGGUUUCGUUUUCAUAAUUAAUGCAUUCGGAUCAUGCUUAAUUAUUUCUCUAUUGAAAACUUUAGACUACCGUUACACCUUUAUAGCCCCAACAAUAUAAGAAAUCUGUUCAAAUAAAUGAAAAACUUUAAUCGAAAAAAUGAAUAGUGAAUGAUUGUAUCCACUAAUUAGAAUCCCACUAUAUAAAAGAAGCUAUUUUUAAGCUUCCUAAGGCUAUCCACAUGGUCAAAAUAAUUAGGACUAAUCAAAAUGCCAUGUCAUUGUGGACUAGGUUUGGAUACAAAAAUUAAGUUAACCUUUGCAGCCCAUUUAAACCAUUUCGCAGCCCAACCUAAAAUCUAAUUCUCAAAAAUCUAAAAUCACUCAUCCUCCCCCUAACCUAAACGCCGUCUCAUAAUGGUUUCCAGAAGCUGAUAAGAUCAAAGAUUCAACUAGACAAAGCAAGCAGCUUGAGGAACCAAAAGUUAUGGAUUGGCGUUGUUUUAUCGGCUUUUUCAGUUCAAAUUUAUUUUGUGAAGAAGAGUAUUUGUUGCUUGGGUCAUCUUCUUGCAUUUUCAUGCGAUUGAGUUUGUAAGUCUCAGAAGCAUCUUUACGGUUUGUUUUCUGAUGGAAUGUACUGUUUCAUAAUUGCAAUGUCUUUAUAUAUGGAUGAGAUGAGAUGUGACCAAAUAAAUUUCGAAACAUGAUUCAAUUAUCUCCAUAUUUAUUAUGUGUGAUUCAUGCCAGAUUGGUUAAAGACAUUGACUGUGAAGCUCUCCUGAAUUUUAAGUAAGCAAUUAAAUGACUAUAAACAAUUUGUGGUCUGAUUUAUUAUAUGCUAAAUUUUAUACAUAUGAACUUAGUAAAUAGUUCUUUUUUUUUGCCACUGAGGGGACAUAGGCAACAUGGGAGCAGAAAUAAAUGUUACCCUCAUCUCAGAGGCUAGGGGUUCCUCAACGAUUCUUUGGUGUGGUAAGAUACUUUUCUUUAAAAGUUACCUGGAGUCACUGUAGUUGGAAUCACAUUAUUAUUUCCUAAAGUUAGAUGCUUAUAUCGUCAUUACAUAUGUUUCUUUUAAAUUGAUAACCUCUUACUUUUCAUCCCUAAAGCUUAGAAUCUGGGCCUUUAGAGGAUAUUCAGAAUCGGAUACAUGAUGCGCUGGAGGAAUUUGCAAUAACAGGUAAUUGCCACAUUAGAACUUAUUUUUAAGCAUCUGACACUAUUUUGGUGGCGUAUAUAAGUUAAAAGAUAGUGAAUUAUUUUCCAACAUUUGUAGCCAAUAAUGACUUAGAUCUCAUACAAGAAAGGAAAUGCCAACUUGGACUUUUCAGGUGGCUCUUAUAUCUAUGUCUCUCGAAAGACAUGUCUCUUAGCUGGAACAGAGGAUGUGCACUUAGGUUAUAAAUUAUAGGACUGGGCCGAGGGAUAGGCUGCAACGUUGGGUUUGGAGGAUUGCAAGGAGAAUGUUGACAGAGAUGGUGGCGGUGACAUAAGUUGAAAUGGCGGUAAAGAGAAGAAACAUGUGGUGUUGGACUCCAACAAAAGUUAACUAUUUUAGGAUAUUUUUUAACCAGUAUUCGACUUCUGAGCAGCCACUGAUCGAUAUGUGUAAAAGCGAAAUCGUAGAUCUGUGUAUGUGAAAGAGAAAAAAAUAAGCAGUUGAAGAAUCAGGUGGAAAAAUAAGGGAUACUUUUAUGCAACGAUUGUUAUUUUCAGAUCAGGUUUCUCUAUUUGUAGCAGAGAAUAUAAAGAUAAAUAAGUUUUGAAAUAGUGGCCAUUUUUAGUGUAGAGAAACAAACAUUCGUUGU